UACGUAGGGCGCAAGCGUUAUCCGGAAUUAUUGGGCGUAAAGAGCUCGUAGGCGGUUCGGUAAGUCUGCCGUGAAAACCCAGGGCUCAACCCUGGGCGUGCGGUGGAUACUGCCGGGCUAGAGGGUGGUAGAGGCGAGUGGAAUUCCCGGUGUAGCGGUGAAAUGCGCAGAUAUCGGGAGGAACACCAGUAGCGAAGGCGGCUCGCUGGGCCAUACCUGACGCUGAGACGCGAAAGCGUGGGGAGCAAACAGG
rnacentral:rRNA from 1 species